rnacentral:sRNA from 1 species
AGCUCCACCGGGUCGACCGCUCGGGUCACGACCAGAUAGUCGCGCAUGACGAUGCCGUGGCGAUUCUC